rnacentral:misc_RNA from 1 species
UUAAGUUCAGCGGGUAUCCCUACCUGAUCCGAGGUCAACCGUGAGAAAUAGAGUUGAGCAAGACACCACAGAGCCCAAAAGCGAGAAAAGUUACUACACUUAGGGUCUACUUAGACUGCUGUUAUGUUUGAAGGCCGCCAAAAGGCGAGCCCCAAUACCAAGCCAGGCUUGAUUGGUUAUAAUGACGCUCGAACAGGCAU